GAGAGAUCAAAGCAAGCAACAGCCAGAGCUCUUGGGUCACUAGAUGUGUCCAAAAUUGUAAUAAGGACCCUCAGAAUCUGGAAAUCAUUCUCUUCAAAAUUGUUAAUAUUUUCACGCCAGAAUAUAGGAUCUUUGUGCAUAGGAGACCAGUCAAGAUGCCCAAGGAGGACUUCUUGCUUAUACUUAUCAAAAGAACUCAGUUUCUUAAUGUUAUCCCUCAAGCCUUCUUCCAGUUGGUUCAGAGCCUCCAACAAGUCCUCAUCACUCCAUGCCUGUGCUUUCAAACUUUGAACAAUUUGUGGUAGACCAAGGUCUACCAUCUGUGCACCAAAAGUACCUUUGGCAAGCAAGUUCCUAAAGGUCAAGACAAUCACCCUGACAACCUUUUCUUUAGUGGAACUCUUUACAACCUCUAUUAGUCGCGGCAAGGUUCUUGAAGUAGCCAAGUAUUCAAUUGCUGGUUCAUAGUACGAUAAUAGCCAGACACAGAGACAUGUUUCAUAGAGAAGCUGGAUAGAUUGCAGGCUAGAUGCAGGAGAAAUUAAAGGUAUCAACAGCUUCACUCCAUCUGCUUUAACAAAUGAAGACCUCACUACAGGUUCCCUGAGUAAUGUUGCUAGGCAACUAAUAGCAGUUGGAACACCCCGACUCGGAUGAGAAGGCUUCUUCAGCUGAGCACAAAGCCAUUCAACCAAUCCUUUUAACACAUCAUCAAUGAAAGUGACUUUACUCUUUGAGUUUGACACUCGUCCAUUUGCAGUGAUGCCAUCUUGAGUUUUUGGCCUAGCACUACGGCAGUAGUGGAGUUAUUAUAAAAGAUUCAAUUUUGUUAUUAUGUAAACUUCACCUCUUCAACAGUUGUGGACUAAUAUUUUAAGUACCUUACUAUUAGUGCAAGAAUCUUGCAGCUCUUUUCUUGGAUGUACCAGUUACCUUUCCAAAGCAAUCUGAGAAUGACCAAAUAGGUUGUUUUAGUUUCCAAUAUUUUAACUGAAAUAGAAUGACUUAAGGUGGUGAAAUUCAAAUAAGCAAAACACAAAUGAAAAAGACCAAUUAUUUUGUUUAUAUCUUGGAAGAGAUAUGGCCAAAGGUAGAAGGUUAAAAAUAUAAAUCCAAAUAUGCAUAUAUUUUAAAAUAUUAUAAAGAUUUAGGUAUAAUGUACAAUGCCCCACAGUGUUCAACGAACUAACCAUAAACCAUGUUUCCAAUGGGCGUAAACCAGCUACUAUAUUUAUGCCCCAGGAAUACUUUCAUACAUACUUUCAAGUGCUAAUGUGGGCCACAACGAAAAUAAACUGAUACUCGUCAGAUCUGCUAUUAUUGGAUUUUUUUUUUCUUUUUUGGAAUUGGAAGGACGUGUUUGAUGCUAUUAAGUGUAGGAAACUAAUAUUCCCUGGAAUGCAAGAAUAACCAACUUAAAUUCAACUUAUUAAAUUGAGUUAAGCACAUUCAACCAAUAGGAAGAAAAGUUGGGUGCUCAUAUUGCAGUAGCCACAAAUCAGCUUUUGACAGAGAAAUGGCUAUUGAAAUGCUGCACUCAGAAUAACCAGAGUGCUGAGUCUCAAGAAAAUUGAAAAAAAAAAAAUAAUAACUCAAAUUCAAACAAGAAAAUGAUGGAUUCAAUAACUGAAUUGAACCUUAUUGCAUUGAAAGAUAAAAUCCCAUCAUACAUCUAAAACAUUGCUUAAAAAAAAAUAAAGCUCAAAUAAAACAACACAGCAAACUUUGAACAAAUACUCAACUUAAGAAAGGUUCAUAAGUAUCCUCAUUUGCAAGAGACUUAUCAUGGAAUAAUCUAGCUCUUUUUGGAUUAGCUGUUAGCAAUUCAUCAAUUAAAGCAAGAACAUAUUCAACUGUUUCUUCCUUAAAUAUAUCCCGUAAGAUGCUAACAAAUACCCGAACAUAAGCUGGACCAUCAUCAUCUAACAAUUGUGCCCUGUAACUUUCAGAUCGAUUAUCAUAGCGCCUCAACAGCUGAAGGUCAGUUCCUGAGAUCAGCUUUGUCAUCAUAUAUGUCUCCCAUGGGAUAUCCCUCUUAAGAACCUGUUCCGCAGUCAGUUCGGCUUGGGCCAUUGAUACUGAAACAACUCAAAACGACACAAAAUUAACACCAAUUCAAUGACCUACAGAAUCCAAAAUUAGAUGAAUCUAACUCGAGUUUCUCUUCAAUUUUCCACCAGGCGACAAAAAAUCCAAAUUCAGAGAGUGAAGGAAGAGGAAUACAAAGAAUUUUUCACUACAAAAUACAGAAAAAAUCAGAUCAUGAAGCAAAAAUCUAGAUUAAUUCUAUUUCACAUCACUGUAAAGAAAGGUAAACAAAAUGCACUUGGAAUUGGCCAGUGACAGAUUAUGAUUGAUUAAAUGAUAAACGAAUUAAAAGGAAAAAAAAUUGCAGAAAUUAAGCAUUAAAAUCCAGUGAAUUUAGCAGAGAUAAAAUGAUAGAUUUUAGUUCAGAAGACAAAUCGAUCGUCUACUUACCUUUUUUUUUUUUUUCUCUUCCUUC
rnacentral:misc_RNA from 1 species